rnacentral:rRNA from 1 species
GACGAACGCUGGCGGCGUGCUUAACACAUGCAAGUCGAACGGAAAGGCCCUGCUUUUGUGGGGUGCUCGAGUGGCGAACGGGUGAGUAACACGUGAGUAACCUGCCCUUGACUUUGGGAUAACUUCAGGAAGCUGGGGCUAAUACCGGAUAGGAGCUCCUGCUGCAUGGUGGGGGUUGGAGAGUUUCGGCGGUUGGGGAUGGACUCGCGGCUUAUCAGCUUGUUGGUGUGGUAGUGGCUUACCAAGGCUUUGACGGGUAGCCGGCCUGAGAGGGUGAACGGCCACAUGGCGACUGAGAGACGGCGCAGACGCCUACGGGAGGCAGUAGUGGGGAGUAUUGCACAAUGGGCGGAAGCCUGAUGCAGAAACGUCGCGUGCGGGAUGACGGCCUUCGGGUGGUAAACAGCUGUCGCCGGUGACGAAGCGUGAGUGACGGUAAUGGGUAAAGAAGCACCGGCUAACUACGUG